rnacentral:rRNA from 1 species
UUCUAACCCUAAACGAUGCCAGCUAGCGAUCCGAGGUUGUUUUAUUAGUAGGCUCCUCGGGCAGCUUCCGGGAAACCAAAGCUUUUGGGUUCCGGGGGAAGUAUGGUUGCAAAGCUGAAACUUAAAGGAAUUGACGGAAGGGCACCACCAGGAGUGGAGCCUGCGGCUUAAUUUGACUCAACACGGGAAAUCUCACCAGGCCCGGACACUGGCAGGAUUGACAGAUUGAGAGCUCUUUCUCGAUUCGGUGGGUGGUGGUGCAUGGCCGUUCUUAGUUGGUGGAGUGAUUUGUCUGGUUAAUUCCGAUAACGAACGAGACUCUGUCCUGCUAAAUAGUCGCGCUCCCCUCGUUGGGGCGCGAAUUCUUCUUAGAGGGACUGGCGGCGUCUAGCCGCACGAGAUAGAGCAAUAACAGGUCUGUGAUGCCCUUAGAUGUCCUGGGCCGCACGCGCGCUACACUGAAGGGAUCAGCGUGUGUUUUCCCUUGCCCGAGAGGGCCGGGUAACCCGCUGAACCCCCUUCGUGGUAGGGAUCGGGGCUUGCAAUUAUUCCCCGUGAACCAGGAAUUCCCAGUAAGCGCAAGUCAUAAGCUUGCGUUGAUUACGUCCCUGCCCUUUGUACACACCGCCCGUCGCUACUACCGAUUGAACGUUUUAGUGAGGCAUUUGGACUGGACCUGGCCGGGUUCACGCCUGGCCUGUUGUCCGGGAAGACUUCCAAACUUGAGCGUUUAGAGGAAGUAAAA